UACGAAGGGUGCAAGCGCUACUCGGAAUUACUGGGCGUAAAGCGUGCGUAGGUGGUUUGUUAAGUCUGUUGUGAAAGCCCCGGGCUCAACCUGGGAAUGGCAAUGGAUACUGGCAGGCUAGAGUGCGGUAGAGGGUAGUGGAAUUCCCGGUGUAGCGGUGAAAUGCGUAGAGAUCGGGAGGAACACCAGUGGCGAAGGCGAUCAUCUGGGGUUGUUCUGACACUGAGGAGCGAAAGCUAGGGGAGCAAACGGG
rnacentral:rRNA from 1 species